UAGGGAAUCUUCCGCAAUGGACGCAAGUCUGACGGAGCAACGCCGCGUGAGUGAAGAAGGAUUUCGGUUCGUAAAACUCUGUUGUUAGAGAAGAACAGCGCAUAGAGUAACUGUUAUGCGUGUGACGGUAUCUAACCAGAAAGCCACGGCUAACUACGUGCCAGCAGCCGCGGUAAUACGUAGGUGGCAAGCGUUGUCCGGAUUUAUUGGGCGUAAAGCGAGCGCAGGCGGUCAAUUAAGUCUGAUGUGAAAGCCCCCGGCUCAACCAGGGAGGGUCAUUGGAAACUGGUUGACUUGAGUGCAGAAGAGGAGAGUGGAAUUCCAUGUGUAGCGGUGAAAUGCGUAGAUAUAUGGAGGAACACCAGUGGCGAAGGCGACUCUCUGGUCUGUAACUGACGCUGAGGUUCGAAAGCGUGGGUAGCAAACAGG
rnacentral:rRNA from 1 species